GAUGAACGCUGGCGGCGUGCCUAACACAUGCAAGUCGAGCGAAGCAAUAGGGAGGAAAUUUUCGGAUGGAAUCCGUAUUGACUGAGCGGCGGACGGGUGAGUAACGCGUGGGCAACCUGCCUUAUACAGGGGGAUAACAGUUAGAAAUGACUGCUAAAACCGCAUAAGCGCACGGGAACGCAUGUUUCUGUGUGAAAAACUCCGGUGGUAUAAGAUGGGCCCGCGUCUGAUUAGGUAGUUGGUGGGGUAGCAGCCUACCAAGCCGACGAUCAGUAGCCGACCUGAGAGGGUGACCGGCCACAUUGGGACUGAGACACGGCCCAA
rnacentral:rRNA from 1 species